GAAGCAACACGCCUUGCUGUGGCUGGUCAAACGGAACCAAGUCAGGUGUUUCAGUGAGGUUUGGUCCCCUUCAACCAGCUACUGCGUCGUGAAUUCUGUC
ensembl:miRNA